UUUCCGUAGGUGAACCUGCGGAAGGAUCAUUAAUGAGUUGUCAUGGGGUUCGAUGCUGGCAGCCAAUUUUUGGAUGCAUGUGCUUGCCCUAACAAUCAUCUUCCAAACACCUGUGCACAUUUUUGAGGGAGUCUUGAGCUGGUUGCCGCUCUUGGGUGAUUUUCUCACAUUCCCUUAAAUCAUUAUACGCUAUUAACAAUGUUGAACGUGCUCUGUGCCGCAAGGCUAUUAAUAUAAUACAACUUUUAACAACGGAUCUCUUGGCUCUC
rnacentral:misc_RNA from 1 species